GGAGGGCAGCUUCUUCACUAACCCGCCGUUGCUCUCCCAGUCCACCUGGGGUAGACGAGCGGGGUGUGCAGGGCAGGAGAGGAAAGAAAAGGCAGUGAGUGAAAGCGAGGACUGGAAAGUAAGAGGGAGGCAGCUGCCAGCAGAAGGAGAGAGGGAAGAAGAGAAAAAAGAGAAGCACCUCCAUGGAACCAGAGCAUACAAAGUAGAUGGCCUGCAGUGCAUCUCCUUGGCGGAUGAGGAACUCCCCUGGUGCACAGAAUGAUGUCUUGAUUAUGAGGGACAGGGAGCGCAGGCACCCCCUGCUGGCCGACUCAAACAGCGGCAGCUGCAGCAGCUCCUUGUUCAGGUGCAUGGCAAUGUCAGCACGCAGCUCAUCUGGGAAGUCCUUCAGCAACUGCAAGAGAAAAGGAGAACAUCCAAAAUCUCCCUCUCCAGGAGACAGAAAAUGGUAUGGGUGGUUAGAGAAGGACUGCAUCCCCAAAGUGCAUAAGCAGCUGGAUGAUGGAUGGACAGGAGGAAGAUGAUUAUAGCAGGAAAGCAGAAUGAAUUCGAGGGACCUUGCACAGGAAACAGACUCAAGUCAAAGAAUGACUGAUAUGACGAGACUCAACCAAUGCAUAAUAAAUCGGAUCUGGAAGCUGAGAAGGGUAAGAAUGAUAAUGCAGGGAGUCGAACUGGGGCUGUGAAAGUUGACACGGCCCACCUCUCCGACAUCAAUGCCGUUGUUGACGGACCAGGUGGUCUGGAAGCACUCCAGCAUGCGCUGCUCCAGGGCCUUGGGCAGCCGAUGCACGCGAAUGAAGUCCUUCAGGUCCUUGGUGCGCGUGUGGUAGAGCGAGCGGCGUGAGUACAUGCGCUGGAUGAUGGCCGUCACGUUGCCAAAGACCACAGCGUGCAUCAGUGCUGUGGGGACAAGCGGAGCAGACAGCUUCAGCUUAUGCUGAUGGUCCCAGAAGCGCGUGUCCACGGGACUGUCGGCGCUACCACUUCGAAAAUUACUAUCCCAACGUUUAAAUAAAAAGCUAGUGGUUAAACAGUAUGGACUUUAUAUAAACCCCCCCCUAUGAUCUGGGGCUGGGAAUCUCUGGAUCAGGCCAGCAGGAAAUGUUAUAGAUCAGUGAUUUGUUGCUAAAAUUGUCCUAAAUCCCAACCUACCCAUAAAAUCAGGAUUGAUCAACUUCUUACAAAAUACUAUAGAUGACACAUUUAACGUAUUAAAAUUCUCCAGAGGUCUCACCUUUGUGUGAUUGCCUGUUAAACUCUAAGUUACCGAUCUUUUCAUAAGCAAAGGAGAAUAGUGUGUUUUUUCCCCAUCUGCUAAUUUCAUUGAUUUUAUUCUUUCAGUCUAAAUUGCCAUUUACCCUAAUUAAGACCAAUCAAUAAUUCAGUUACUUAAUCAGGCCAUUAAUCAUUAAUGAAUCUAUUUAAGAUUGACCAUUUUAAAACCGUAUUAUUUAUUGUUAUAAUCAGAAGCACUAAUAAAAAUGUGUUCCUCAAAAAAGCUUUCACACGGAAUUCAUUCAUACUAACGUUUGUGAAAUCAUAGCCGAAUUUCGAAAUGCCUUAUUAAGGAUUUGGUUAUAAUUCGCAUCCCUUCUCCACGAACCAGAUUAUUCUAGCAUUAUUUAUCUUAUCUUUAUUUUAAAGAGCUAUGAUGUUCAUGUUUUCAGAAGACAAAAUGUCUUUCACGGGCAACUCUGGAAAGCCCUUAACAGUACGUAAUCCAGUCAUCACUGCAGGGGUAGCAGCUGGCUGGCCUUCACAUAGUCAUUGUUUUAAAACUGAUUUCCUCAUUUUGCAGGGUAAUCAUAGGUCUUAAGCAUAGGAUGUCACACUACAUUCCCCAUAUUCUAAAAACAAUAAAAUGUUAUUAUGUUA